rnacentral:rRNA from 1 species
AGCGCAGACGGAACUGCAAGUCUGAUGUGAAAGCCCGGGGCUCAACCGCGGGACUGCAUUGGAAACUGUAGAUCUGGAGUGCCGGAGGGGCAAGCGGAAUUCCUGGUGUAGCGGUGAAAUGCGUAGAUAUCAGGAGGAACACCGGCGGCGAAGGCGGCUUGCUGGACGGCAACUGACGUUGAGGCUCGAAAGCGUGGGGAGCAAACA